CCCUCCCCGCAGAGCGAUCAGCGGCUCUGCUGUCCAGGCACUUCUGGCUUCUUCAGCUUCCCAUCUCCCCAACCGCGCAGACCGAAGGUGGUCGUGUGUCCCUGUGUCCCCCCACCGCCACUGGCUCAGGAGAGGAUCAUAUUGGAAGGGCCACUGUGGGACAGACCACUGUCACCAACUCCAGCUUGGAAGCAGAAACCUUCCUUUACUGUGGUCCCCGGCCCAGCACCUGAGGCCACCCAGGCGAUGCUCAGCUCCUGGGUGGGGCAGGGCAGUCCACCUCCAGGCGCUGCUGCAGAUAAUGGUGUUAAAGCCCCUAGAUGUUUGCUUUCUGGUUAAGAGACCUAAGCCACCCGCCCUUGUCCUGAGCUUGUGUGUGUGUGUGUGUGUGUGUGUGUCAUAUUGUAUCAUGAACUCCGCUCAGAAGUCCAGAGCCCACUCUCCCCAGUACAGCCAGCCAGGGAUGGGACAGGUGGCCGAAAGCAGGUCACACCCCGUGUCCCUCACUUUCCACAAUUUGCUGACAUUCUCUUCGAGGGCUGGACCUCAGCAGGCCAGAGGAGGAAUCAAGGAAGAAGGGGCGUGUUCCUUUCCGCUUCACUGCCACAAACUACCUGAGAAAGUCAGCGUGGAGGAAGAAAGGCCUGUUCUGGCCUAUGGUUUUCGAGGUGUCAGUCCGUGGCGGACUGGCUGCUGGCUGCGCGGCUUGCAGGCCUGUGAGAGUAGGAACUUGGUGGUGGGAGGGGACAGCAGAGCCAGGCUGCUGAGCUCCUGGCAGCUAGGAAGCAGAGAGAAAAGAUGGAGAGCCCAGGGGAAGGGGCCAGGGACCAGGUACAGUCCACAGCUUCCCAGGUAACCCCCAGUCUAUGGAGAGCUAGGGUUAGGCCACUCACCCCGCACUUUAUUGAGGUCUGGCUGUGUGCUGGGCACAAGCCAGGCACUGGGGUAUUAGUGGCAAUUACUGUGACAGCCACAGUGGGCCCAGGCUUCCUGCGAGCAAACAAUUUUGCAUGCACUGUCUUCUUUUUUUUUUUUUUUUUUUUUUUUUUUUUGUCCCUGCAACCUUGCGACAUAGCUACUGUCAUUAACCACUCUUGCAGAUGGGGCACAGAGAGUUUCUGUGACUCACCCGGCCUCACUGGGCUACUCAGGGUCGGGCCCAGUUUCCCUGACUCCAGAACCCAGGACUUAACCACAUGGCAUGGAGCGAAGGUCAGGGACACUGUAAAACCAGUGACUGCACUGGGUGUGUGCAAAAGCAGGGCAUAUGUUUGGAGGGGCAGUGGCAUGGCUGCGGGGUACGUGUUCCCGCCCCAGGAGGUCUUUGGGAAUCAGGUAAAGUAACAGACGCUCCAGGGAAGGAGGAGGGCCCUCCAAAGGGCCCCAAGGUGGCAGGAGGCAUGGCCUGUCCAGGCACCCACUCAUUUGGUACCAGGUACUCCAGGAAGAUCAGGUGGGCUUGGAGGGGAGCCGGCUACUACCCAAAAUGCAGGCCCGGGGACCAGAGCGGUGACACACGACCUCAUGGAAGUCAGACAGUGACACAGACAUGGUGGCUUCAGGAGAUCUUGGCUGCAGCGUGACACAGCUGAGGGCUGUAGAGCACAGGAGUCACCUAGGAGGAAGCAGCCAAUGAGGAGCCCUCGUGGCCACAGGAAGGUGACAGGGACCUGCGUCAAGUCACCAAGUGGAGCAGCCUGGUGGCAGGCAGAAUAACUGCUCUUCACUUCAAGGACACCCUAGACCUCCCGCUACCCUUUUAGGAUCCCCAACCCCAGCAGAAUGGGGACAUCAACCAGCAUGCAAAGAUCUUUGAUUUCUUCUGGGCCCUUGGGGACACCCGGAGGGCCCUGAGGGACGGCUGUUCACCUGUCACAGGAAGCAGCAGUGCCAUGAGGGAUGCUAAUGACUGGACCCAAGGCCGGACCGUGCUGACAGCUGGGGGUGCCUUUUCUCCUUUCCUUCAACCCAGGAAGCCUGGGAAUUAUCAUGAGCCCCAUCUCAGGAGUGCUCCUCAUGUCUUAAUGGUGGGGACCCAGCCAAGAUUUGAACCUGAGGUUCCAUGUGACCUCAAAAAUCAAGUUUUCCCCACUCCUCUGCCAAUUUUAGAAGACAUUAAAAAGGUCUUCCUUUAUAAUGUUUUCCCGGGAAGGCACUCAGGAGGAAUGUAUGAAAUUCAUCUCCGAAUAAUAAUAUUCUUUGACAUGAGUUUGCAGUCAGUGACGCGGAGCCCCCAAAACAUUGCAGGAAGGAAAGCUCCUAGCAGGUAGGAGCCAGGCAUGCUAACUCAGCCUGCAUGCCGCCAGGGCUCAAGCAGAAGACAGUGAUUGACUGUCCAAGGUCACAAAGUCCCUGGUGCUUAGCAAAGUGCCAGCCACAGCCCAGCUCUGUAAGUUGCCACAUGAGUUAGGCUGGUGUUGGUACUUGGUCUGAGACAGUGCAGUUCCCCUGUCUCCUGACCUGAACUGGUGAAGUGGCUACAGGGCCCCCUAUCCCCUAUCCCAAGUCUCUGACCUAGAAAUGACACUGAGCCCAGCCACCAGAGGCCGUCCAGAGCCCCACCUUGAAGCCCCUGCAUGUCCAGCGAGUUUCCGUGGGUUAGCCGUGCACCCAAAUUACCCACGCUACCUCCACCUCGUGCAAGCAAAGAACUUGACCUUGAACUUGAGAGGUGCACAGUGCUGUAGGAAGGCGCGGGCAUGGUUCACGAACCCCGGCACCCUGCACCCUGCACCCUCCCGCCAGGCAGGACCCACCCUGGUGCUGCCUGCUGCCGUAGCCGGUGUUGUGCUGCUGUGAAAUGGCCAGCUGGCUGCCGAAGGAAAGCCCUGAUUUAUAGUGCUUGACCAUUUCCCUGGUGUAAACAGUCCUGCCACGGCCCUACGUAAAGCUAGGAAGAGCAGCAACCCCCUCCGUGAACCGCAGGAGCGCAGCCAGCCCUGGCCCCGGACUACAAAACCUACCGAUGUUAGCCCUCUGGCCCCUGUACAGACAGUCUGGUGACCCUCCAAUGACCAUAAAUAACCUCGAGACCAGAGUCCGACAAAAUGGAAUAUGAUAAUUAGGAAAUCAGUUUUAUGACCGUCUUAAAAAUAGAACCUGUUUAAUUGUAACUUUAUAUAACUUUUUUUUCCAAGGGGUGUUUGACAACCAGCUUGCAAAACUCCUGAAAAAUUAACAUCUGCUGUCAUAAGCCAGGGAAGGUCAGCGCCCGCCCACCACGCUGUCCUGAAGCAGACACGCCAUAAACAUGUGCAGAACGGCGGGGUCUCUAACCAAAGUGCCAUAUCUAACCAGUGCACCAUACUACCGUUUCAUUCAUUCAUUCAUCCAAUUCUCUUAACACCUGCUCAUCAGCACCUCCUUGAGGGCCAGGGACAUUGUCAGGUCCUGCAGAUCCCACUCGCAUAUGCCUUGGUCUCAGAGUUCAUAGUCAAGUGGGCAAGCCACGCCCCAAAUAAUCACCACCCCAGAAACAUAAGUCAGCUCUCCCCUCUUCCCACACUCAGCUGUGUACUCUUGGCUGAUUUACUGUAAAGCAGGGUCACAUGAAUUCCACAGGGUCAGUGUCAGGCUCGCAGCAUUUCCUGUAAGAGUCAGCCACUUCCGGCCUCACCUCCACUUGCACAACACCUAGGAUGUGGACAGAGAGGCUUUGCACCCUGCAAACUGCUGAUGGUGGGGGUGUGCUGCUUUGUGUCACAGCUGUCCUGGGCACUGUACGGUGUCACCAUGUCCCUGGCCUUACCUGCUGCAUGCUAGUAGCAUCCCCCAGUCAUGAGACACAUAUGUUUCCGGACAGUGCCAAAUGUCACCAGGAGGCAGAGCGGCCCCUGGCUUAGGGAGAUGCAUCCCCUCCCUCCUAGCUGGGAGGGGCUGCUGCUGUAUGAGCCACCGCUGCUCUGCCAUCCUGCAGGUCACCAACUGGGGAGUCACGUUAUCCUCCCUGUGCUGUGCCACCUUCCUCUUCGGAGGCUGGGCUGGGAGUAAACUUGUCACCGGCAUCACUGUCAGACUACCACAGGACCCGGGGCCAGCGGGAUAAACAUCGAGAGAGGAGCCUGCAUUUUCCCUGGAGUCUGCAAACACGCGCCUCCCCCUUCUUCCAGGCUGGUGUGAGGCCGGCUCUUUCCCCAGGCCCCACAGCCCAGAGACCACUUCCUCUUCAGCAGGCUGUGACAGAGGGCUGCGAGGGGCCCUGCUGUGUUGCUCCCAUCUUCCCUGGCUUCAGGGGACAAAGGGGCAGCCAGGCAGGCCUCUUACACCCAGGGCUAAAUAAAAAAAUUAGUACUAAA